AACAUAUACUGUUACCCGUUGUGGGUCGUUUUCGUUUGUUCUGGCCAUUGUUGGGUGGUUGAACACCAUGCAUCUUGUGUUUAUUGCUUUCAAUAUGCUGGUCAAGCUGUGAUUGUGAGUUGACAGUUAUGUUGCAUUUCUCGCAAUGAUAUUCACGCAGGUUCAUCCCACCACCACUACCUGCCGCUGUGUCUUUGUUUAUACCAAGAAUUGCAUUUGAAAUUUUCAAGUAUCUCACAUUUUCCCAUUUCUCACC